UACGAAGGGGGCUAGCGUUUCUCGGAAUUACUGGGCGUAAAGGGCGCGUAGGCGGUUCUGUUAGUCAGGCGUGAAAUUCCUGGGCUCAACCUGGGGACUGCGCUUGAAACGGCGGGACUUGAGGACGGAAGAGGCUCGUGGAAUUCCCAGUGUAGAGGUGAAAUUCGUAGAUAUUGGGAAGAACACCGGUGGCGAAGGCGGCGAGCUGGUCCGUUACUGACGCUGAGGCGCGACAGCGUGGGGAGCAAACAGG
rnacentral:rRNA from 1 species